CUGGCAGAGAGUAGGCACUUGCAAAAUAUUUGUUGGGUAAAUGAAUGCAGGAUGAAUGAAUGUGUAAACGAGAGGAACAGAAAUUUCACUCACUGGCCAAUGGAUGGGUGGGGAAGAAAUGUCUGGGGUCACCUCCUGGUUCCUCCUUGGAGAGAUGUACCCCUGAGGGCUCAGGAACCUUCACUUGCUUCUUGCCCUCAGCAUCACCAUGAACGGAAAGACCAUCGCUUUGCUUAAGGGGCUGCCAAGCCAUUGUUGACACCGGCACCUCUCUGCUGACCGGCCCAACCAGCCCCAUUGCCAACAUCCAAAGCGACAUCGGAGCCAGUGAGAACUCAGACGGCGAGGUGAGUCCAGCCCCGACGGCUCUGUUCUACACUCAAAUAGUGGGUGUGCCAGGCACACGGGACCAAAACCCUUCCAACUUUUCUCACCUCACUCUUUCCAGAUGGUGGUCAGCUGCUCAGCCAUCAGCAGCCUGCCCCGACAUCGCUCUUCACCAUCAACGGAGUCCAGUACCCUUUGCCACCCAGUGCCUACAUCCUGCAGAGCCAGGGCAGCUGCACCAGCGGCUUCCAGGGCAUGGACGUCCCCACCGAAUCUGGAGAGCUUUGGAUCCUGGGUGAUGUCUUCAUCCGCCAGUACUUCACUGUCUUCGACAGGGCAAACAACCAGGUCGGCUCUGGCUCCCGUGGGCUUAAGCCCAGGUCUUUCCAGCCACCUCCCAGGAAGAUCUGACCUCCGGCCCCCGCCCACUUUAGAUGUAUCUAAUUCUCCUGACUGUCCUUCCCAGGGGAGUGUGGAGGUCUUGGUCCUGUUCCCUGUCUUACCAAUAAUGUAGAAUAAAACUUAACCUACUGAAACAGGUUUUAUGGAGCUGCUUCUUUGCUGGUCUUUUUCCUUCACAUCACUGGGGUUAGAACGCCAGGGCAGGGACCAAAAUGACCACAUCCACUUGGAUGGCAGCCAACAGAGUGACACCAGCAGCGGACACUUCAUGGUAG
rnacentral:lncRNA from 1 species